UCUGCUCUCGGUUUCAUCGCCAGAGAAGUGACUCCAUUUAAGCCAAUCUCGUCACAAACUCUGAGUGCUGGAUGUCAGCUGCUCCAGAUCAAGCUGGAGGUGCAAGCCAGCGAGCAGAGCAUCUGAAAAUGAGAGACUGCGGGUGAAAGAAACGGGAAGGUGAAUAAGAGGGUGAAAGAAACAAAGAAAGCAAAGGGAAGCUACCUGUUUGUAAUUGAAUCACUUACUUAGAAGAGAGGAACAGCAUUGGGUGGUCCUUGGUGGCCGAUACAGCUUGCAGCAGCAGAGCUGUCUCCACAGGCAAUUUCUGAUUUUCACUCCUGCUCUCCAUACAGUUUUAACUUUAAAGUAGAAGUUCCUUACCAAAUGGAGUAUGAAUAAAGAGAAAUCACAGGGAACACUGAAACAAGCGUAAAGGAAAAGAGCAAGGGACAAUCAAUAGGUAGGUUGAUGACAGCUGAAGAAGACUGUAUUUGCCGAAGAGCAGCAUGACGGUAGAGAGGAGAGGAGCUCCUGAGGGAGAUCUAAUGGUGCCUCUCCUUC